UACGAAGGGAGCUAGCGUUGUUCGGAAUCACUGGGCGUAAAGCGCACGUAGGCGGAUUUGCCAGUCAGGGGUGAAAUCCCGGGGCUCAAUCUCGGAACUGCCUUUGAUACAGCAAGUCUUGAGUUCGAGAGAGGUGGGUGGAAUUCCUAGUGUAGAGGUGAAAUUCGUAGAUAUUAGGAAGAACACCGGUGGCGAAGGCGGCCCACUGGCUCGACACUGACGCUGAGGUGCGAAAGCGUGGGGAGCAAACAGG
rnacentral:rRNA from 1 species